CACCGCACAAUGAAUGGUGUCCUCAGUGGGAAGGUGCGACUUCUGUCACCACAACAACUGUGGGAUGGUCAAUCUUCAGGAUACCAGCAUUGAGAUGCAUCUGUUCCAGAACUAAGAACAAGAAACAUGGAAGAAAACGGACACAAUUUUUACACAGAGAAGAGGGUAUUGAUUGGUUGUACCAUAACUGACAUAGAGACACUGCAAGAACAGUUAACUGUCAAUCUUAAUUCUCAAACCUGGCAGAUAGAUUCUGAUUGGUCAGGGUGUUGCUAUGCGGCAAAGUUUAAUUAUCUUCAUGACCCCUUUUAUUUAAAAGGAUGCAGUGUAUAUAAAAGAACUAUUUUUAUCAACAUAAA